rnacentral:rRNA from 1 species
UACGUAGGGUCCGAGCGUUGUCCGGAAUUAUUGGGCGUAAAGAGCUCGUAGGCGGCCUGUCGCGUCUGCUGUGAAAUCCCGGGGCUUAACCCCGGGCGUGCAGUGGAUACGGGCUGGCUGGAGGCAGGCAGGGGAGAACGGAAUUCCCGGUGUAGCGGUGAAAUGCGCAGAUAUCGGGAGGAACACCGGUGGCGAAGGCGGUUCUCUGGGCCUGUUCUGACGCUGAGGAGCGAAAGCGUGGGGAGCGAACAGG